AUAGCCUCUAACUGUCGCUGAAUACUCAGCGAUCGGGUGUGAGAACCCGGCAA
rnacentral:ncRNA from 1 species